CAUUUAUUGAAAUUAUAUUAUAUUUUAUUUAGGUUUCGGAUCAAACAAGUCGAUCGAUUAUUGUCGUUGAUUCGGCGAAUUUAUGGUUUGGUAGAUUUUUUCUAGUUUGGCAACUUUGUUCGUGGUUCUUGUGUCAGACUGACAGCUGGCUGAGCUGAGAGACAGGUUAUGGAAAGUGGGGACGUCGCGAGAGCGCCGGAGACUCCACUGCCGUAACAAUAAUGUGGGCAAAUUAAAAGCCACGAUUUAUCGGCGACAUCAAGAGCCGAUGUCUCCAUUUAUAUAAAUAACUUAACUGAGAUGGUAAGUCCUCGCAAUUCUUCGUGCAUAUUUUUGCACCAACUUUGUGAUAACCUCGAGGUCCUUGUUUUCAGCAACAUCACUGAAAUCCCAUCGCCUAAGGUCCAGUGGGUGGGUUUAGGUUUCAUCCGAGCGAUGCCCAACUAUCCCGGAUGAACCUAUGGGGUUUUUGUUUUCUUUAAAGUUUUAACGUUUUAAUUUUCGAACGUUUUGCAAGUUUUAAUCUAAGAAGAAGUUUAUGAUUGGAUCAGAUGAUUUCAACAAUGAUUUUGUGAAUGAAGAUUGCUACUGUUUUCUUCUGCGUUUGCAAGUUAUUUCAAGCUUCAUUUCGGCGGAGCUUGCCUUGGUUGUUUGCACGUCGAAGCUUUCCUUUGUGCGGCGCGCAUGUGGAUGUGCCGUGCCUCUCCUUUUGUCAACACACCGGAUAAGGCCCGGUGAAGGUCUGCGAGGUUGACCGGUGGACGUGCAGCCCGCCAGCUGCGUAACAGUUGGCCCGCUGCGCCGCCAUCGUCCAGCACGCCCUGGCCUGAGCCGGCCUCAACUCAUCACCUGUACGGUAUUCCGGAACGCCUCAGGUAGGCCUGAUAGUCGGAGGUCCUCGAGUAAGUGAGGUGCCUACAGGUGUACGGACAGUGUUUUGAAAUAUAGUGAUAUCCCACGGUUGUUACGGAGUGACAAUUAACCUGACGGACCAAAGCGCGACCUGUCUCCCUCCAUAGGGUUUUUGACCUACCUAUGGUUAAUGAAAUUUGUAGAUUUAAAAAAUAUACAUUGUACAAAUUCAAGGGGAGUUUUCUUUGUCUCAUGCUCACCGGUCUAUAACAUCUAGCUGUGCCCUUCAGGUAAACACCACUUUAUAAAUUUUCUGAAACAUAUCUGUAGUAUCAUAACACCGAUUUCCUCUUUACACUACCUUCCUAUAAGGUAGUUAAAAAUCUAGUGUUUCAGUGGCGCCCUUCUUGGUGAAAUUGUCGCUCUGUACAACCAUUUUAGAAUAUAAGUGGUGUUGGCAUAAACUUUAAGAAUAAAUUUUGUGAAAACAGUGUAUUUUUUAAUUAAAAAGUGAUGGGAUUUUGUGUGAA